ACAAAAAAAAAUCUAGGAGAGACCCCCAGUCGCCAGCGACCACCCGUCUCCAGCUGCUCCCAACAGCGGCAAUAAAAAAAAAGCACACACACUCACGAAAAAGGAAGGGACAAGCAAAACGAAAAGUAGAACGUCACUUUAAUUCAUUGUUCUUCUUAGAAAAAAAAUUCAAGAAAUCAACACUCUCUGAUUUUCACAAAUACCACCACUAUUUCCAAUCAUCUUUAAUUCCAAAAAAUCUCUCAUUCUAUCACACUUGAGAGGCAGCAACCGCCCAGCAACUUUGCAGAAUCAAACGUGACCAUUUAAUUGAUCCAUUCUAUUAUAGCUUGCCUGAAAAUUUGAAUCAAGAUAUUCAUAUAUUUGACACUCUACAUACAGAUUAAGAGACUGAAAUGAGAUAGAGCAUUUGGGGAAAGCAGCAGCGAAAAAGGGGGAAGGCUCUCAUUUUUUUUCUAGAAAAAUAGCCGCUCCCAUUCACUCUAAGAGCUCCGGCAGAAAUUCAGCGAUUAUGAAAACGAUGACCCCCUCUUCUCACUAUUUCACUCAAUCCUCUCAUCUCUCACUUAGCUAGCGUCGCCGCCGAUGCCAUCGUCGUUCAAACUUUACAACGAAGUUUCCAUUCUUGGCUCGAUGGUUCCGGUCCCGUUUGAUUUCAGCCAAGGUUUUUCGGUCAAGCUCUGGUUCCGAUUUCCAGUUUGCCUUCUGAAUUACACCCUUGGAUUCAUCAAUAAAGGUCUGGAUCCAUGUACCAGGACUCGAGCAUGACAAAUACCCCAGGACCAUUCUAGUCAAGACUAUUGCAUGCACGAGCUGUUUGAGGAAACUUUUUAUUUUUUAGUCUAUUUUAUGUUGUCUUUUAAUUAUUAGUCUUGUACAGUAGUAUCGAGUCUGUCAGUCUAAUUAAGAUUUUCGAGUCUUUUGUUAUAGUACUUCCUGUUUUGUAUUUGAAAAAAAUUAUAAAUGAAAAUUUCAAAAAGA